rnacentral:lncRNA from 1 species
GAGCAGGACAGGACACAGAGCUUCCUAGUCCGUGUAGUGGAGGUAGCCAUCAUCAGAAUCCAGAAAGGAGCACCGUGUGUGCGUGAUGUGGCCGGAGAAGAUGUACGCGUGGGCGUCCAUGGCAGAAGACCCGCUCAAGCGCGCGGGGUCGGCAUCGGCGCAUCCGUCGAGCCCUCUACGGCGCUACAGCCCAACGACGCUGGCGGUCGGCGGCCUCAUCGUCGUUGGCGGCCUCAGCUACGUCAUGUUCGGGAGCAAGAAGAACGGGCGCGACCAGCAGGCCAGCCGAGCUUAGAAAAGGCCCGUGGAGAUCGUCGAUUAGCUAGCUUACCGAGAUGUUCCGAAAAUAAGAUAGGAUUAGGCUCUUUGGCGGGUGUUAUGUAUGUGUUCCAUAUGUGCAAAAACCUCGAGUGCUACUAUCUUGUUAUCCAUGUAUGUAUAACAUGCCAAUUUUCUUACUGAAUAAGUAGCCUCCCUUGUGAUUUAAUUAUUAGAACCACGGAAGAUAUGUGGUUCAAAUGUUAAGCUCGUUUCAUUGUAGCAUCUGUAACCGAAACUUGUUGUGUGGG